ACCACUCGUAUACUGAACAUAGGCCGACAAGGCCAUACAAUCUUUUAAGUACAUGACAUCUGUCUACAAGCCUCUAAGAAUACAUAAUUUUUAUAAAGGUCGGGACAGAGUCCCGCCAUACCAAACAAUACACAUCUAACUCAUACUGACCAAACAAGCAACUCCGAAGCAAAUGGAGCGCACCAACAUCUUCCGCUUAGCUGAUAGCCUACUUGGAGGGCUCUCGACCUGUCUAUCAGGACCUAGGGGCAUGAAACACAACGUCCCCAGGAAAAAAGGGACGUCGGUACGAAUAAUGUACUGAGUAUGUAAGGCACAUAAAUAAGUACAUAACAAACAUGGAGGAAAUAUAGAGUAAAUGACUCCACCUGUAAGUCAGAAUAACUUUGUAAAUCAUGAAAUAAUUAUAGUAUCAUGCAUAUGCGUAUGAAGGUCAUGUCGUGCAUAGAUACAUGUUUCAUAACAUCAUCAGCCUCUGAGAGCAUCCCAUCAUAUCAUCUUGGCCACUGUGGGCAAAUACAUCAACAUAUCAGCUGCUCAGGUGGUGGUGCGUAUAUAACGCCAUAACCUUUCCUAUAUCUCAUAUACGCAUAUAUACAUACAUAUAUAUGCGUAUAUAACGCCAUCUGGUCAUGAGUCAAUGUACACAAAUGCAAUGCAAGAAAAGUACGUUAAUAAAAUCUUUCAGAAUACCAUAAGAGCAUUUUGACUUUAAGUAAUAUCAUGAAGUAAACUUUUUUAACUUACGUAUUUUUCUGAGACCCAUGAACAGAGGAUAAAAUAAUAGGACACAUGGGAACUCAAGAACGUAGGCAUUUCUAAUACUUCUAUGAAUCGAGUCAUUUGUGGAAGUUGUGCAUUUACUCGUUCGUUUGUAUCGUAUGGAUCAUGCCAAAAGAAAAAAGGGAUAGUGUUAACAUACCUGAGCCGAUUCUCUUGACAAUCCCUCUAACAUACGUCAAUUACGUCAACACAGAACAAGUCGUACAGAAAAUUUGAAGCAACAACGUUGCCAUGCUGCAACGAUAAAUUAGCUGAAAUUUUUCCUCAAACAAUUGCCAGUAGAGUUUUGCACUUAAAAAGUCUUGGUGGAAUCUCUUUCUUUAAGAGAUGGAAAAUAGUAUUAUUAUGUAAGGAAUUGGCUGAAAACACUUAGCCAAAAACGUUACCUUUUUCAAUCCUUUCUUAAGAAAUUCCAAAUUUUAAUCCUUACUUUAAGGUAGGCCUCACCUAACUAGUGACU
rnacentral:lncRNA from 1 species